rnacentral:rRNA from 1 species
AUUGAACGCUGGCGGCAGGCCUAACACAUGCAAGUCGAGCGGAUGACGGGAGCUUGUUCCUUGAUUCAGCGGCGGACGGGUGAGUAAUGCCUAGGAAUCUGCCUGGUAGUGGGGGACAACGUUUCGAAAGGAACGCUAAUACCGCAUACGUCCUACGGGAGAAAGCAGGGGACCUUCGGGCCUUGCGCUAUCAGAUGAGCCUAGGUCGGAUUAGCUAGUUGGUGGGGUAAUGGCUCACCAAGGCGACGAUCCGUAACUGGUCUGAGAGGAUGAUCAGUCACACUGGAACUGAGACACGGUCCAGACUCCUACGGGAGGCAGCAGUGGGGAAUAUUGGACAAUGGGCGAAGGCCUGAUCCAGCCAUGCCGCGUGUGUGAAGAAGGUCUUCGGAUUGUAAAGCACUUUAAGUUGGGAGGAAGGGCAGUAAGUUAAUACCUUGCUGUUUUGACGUUACCGACAGAAUAAGCACCGGCUAACUCUGUGCCAGCAGCCGCCGUAAUAC